CCUACGGGAGGCAGCAGUGGGGAAUAUUGGGCAAUGGGCGCAAGCCUGACCCAGCAACGCCGCGUGAAGGAAGAAGGCUUUCGGGUUGUAAACUUCUUUUCUGAGGGACGAAGAAAGUGACGGUACCUCAGGAAUAAGCCACGGCUAACUGCGUGCCAGCAGCCGCUGUAAUUCGUAGGUGGCAAGCGUUAUCCGGAUUUAUUGGGUGUAAAGGGCGUGUAGGCGGGAAAGCAAGUCAGAUGUGAAAACUCAGGGCUCAACCCUUAGCCUGCAUUUGAAACUGUUUUUAUUGAGUGCUGGAGAGGCAAUCGGAAUUCCGGGUGUAGCGGUGAAAUGCGUAGAUAUACGGAGGAACACCAGUGGCGAAGGCGGAUUGCUGGACAGUAACUGACGCUGAGGCGCGAAAGCGUGGGGAGCAAACAGGAUUAGAUACCCGAGUAGUC
rnacentral:rRNA from 1 species